rnacentral:rRNA from 1 species
CUCAGGAACGAACGCUGGCGGCGUGCCUAAUACAUGCAAGUCGAGCGGACAGAAGGGAGCUUGCUCCCGGAUGUUAGCGGCGGACGGGUGAGUAACACGUGGGUAACCUGCCUGUAAGACUGGGAUAACUCCGGGAAACCGGAGCUAAUACCGGAUAGUUCCUUGAACCGCAUGGUUCAAGGAUGAAAGACGGUUUCGGCUGUCACUUACAGAUGGGACCCGCGGCGCAUUAGCUAGUUGGUGGGGUAAUGGCUCACCAAGGCGACGAUGCGUAGCCGACCUGAGAGGGUGAUCGGCCACACUGGGACUGAGACACGGCCCAGACUCCUACGGGAGGCAGCAGUAGGGAAUCUUCCGCAAUGGACGAAAGUCUGACGGAGCAACGCCGCGUGAGUGAUGAAGGUUUUCGGAUCGUAAAGCUCUGUUGUUAGGGAAGAACAAGUGCGAGAGUAACUGCUCGCACCUUGACGGUACCUAACCAGAAAGCCACGGCUAACUACGUGCCAGCAGCCGCGGUAAUACGUAGGUGGCAAGCGUUGUCCGGAAUUAUUGGGCGUAAAGGGCUCGCAGGCGGUUUCUUAAGUCUGAUGUGAAAGCCCCCGGCUCAACCGGGGAGGGUCAUUGGAAACUGGGAAACUUGAGUGCAGAAGAGGAGAGUGGAAUUCCACGUGUAGCGGUGAAAUGCGUAGAGAUGUGGAGGAACACCAGUGGCGAAGGCGACUCUCUGGUCUGUAACUACGCUAGAG